CCUACGGGAGGCAGCAGUAGGGAAUAUUGCUCAAUGGGGGAAACCCUGAAGCAGCAACGCCGCGUGGAGGAUGAAGGUUUUAGGAUUGUAAACUCCUUUUGUGAGAGAAGAUAAUGACGGUAUCUCACGAAUAAGCACCGGCUAACUCCGUGCCAGCAGCCGCGGUAAUACGGAGGGUGCAAGCGUUACUCGGAAUCACUGGGCGGAAAGAGUGCGCAGGCGGGCUUGUAAGUCAGAUGUGAAAUCCUGUAGCGUAACUACAGAAGUGCAUUUGAAAAUAUGGUUCUAGAGUGGGGGAGAGGUAGGUGGAAUUCUUGGUGUAGGGGUAAAAUCCGUAGAUAUCAAGAGGAAUACUCAUUGCGAAGGCGGCCUACUGGAACAUUACUGACGCUCAUGCACGAAAGCGUGGGGAGCAAACAGGAUUAGAUACCCGAGUAGUC
rnacentral:rRNA from 1 species